rfam:Ictidomys tridecemlineatus contig023637, whole genome shotgun sequence.
AUAUCAAGUAUGGUGAAAUCCUUCAUCAAUAGUAGUUUGCCUUUUUAAAUGUUGAUCCUUUGGGUCUGAGUGA